rnacentral:rRNA from 1 species
GCCUGAUGCAGCAACGCCGCGUGAGGGACGACGGCCUAAGGGUUGUAAACCUCUUUUAGCAAGGAAGAAGCGAAAGUGACGGUACUUGCAGAAAAAGCGCCGGCUAACUACGUGCCAGCAGCCGCGGUAAUACGUAGGGCGCAAGCGUUAUCCGGAAUUAUUGGGCGUAAAGAGCUCGUAGGCGGUUUGUCGCGUCUGCUGUGAAAACUGGGGGCUCAACCCCCAGCCUGCAGUGGGUACGGGCAGACUAGAGUGCGGUAGGGGAGAUUGGAAUUCCUGGUGUAGCGGUGGAAUGCGCAGAUAUCAGGAGGAACACCGAUGGCGAAGGCAGAUCUCUGGGCCGUAACUGACGCUGAGGAGCGAAAGGGUGGGGAGCAAACAGGCUUAGAUACCCUGGUAGUCCACCCCGUAAACGUUGGGAACUAGUUGUGGGGUCCAUUCCACGGAUUCCGUGACGCAGCUAACGCAUUAAGUUCCCCGCCUGGGGAGUACGGCCGCAAGGCUAAAACUCAAAGGAAUUGACGGGGACCCGCACAAGCGGCGGAGCAUGCGGAUUAAUUCGAUGCAACGCGAAGAACCUUACCAAGGCUUGACAUAUACGAGAACGGGCCAGAAAUGGUCAACUCUUUGGA